rnacentral:misc_RNA from 1 species
GUCAAAAGCAACAUUAAAUGGGGGUACGUUAUUUAUGGUAUAAAACUAUAUAAUAUGUUCUGAAGGUUGCCCUGCUACUAUAUGCAACUAGUAGUAAAUUUAUGAAUAUAUAAUUGAAUGAUGUCAGCAAAAAGGAGCCAACUUGGAAUGAGGACUUCACUUUCAAUAUUAAGCAAUAUCAAACAAAAAAUCUUCAGGUCAAUACUUGUUCUCUAUCUAGUUUUAUUUCUCAUGUGGGAUUCACUUGUGAUACAUCUCAAGUUCCUUUAUUUCACGCCACAUUUCUUUCUAGUGGCACUGAACUGACACAAUUCUUGUGAUAACUUACAUGUUGGUAUGUCUUCUGAAUCCUGAUAAAUUAUCUGCGUUUGUCAUCUUCAUCUCACCACUUUUACUAGGUUUGCUAGCAUGCAACUGACAAUGUUGGUGAUUGAUAAUUAUAUUUGUGUGGUACAAAUGCAUGAUUUAAAACAUUCGCAAUUAGUUGUAAAUAUUUUGGAAAAUCAUGUGUUCAGAAUAAAAUAUUAUACAAUUGCAACUUAUUCUCUGACUUGCAAUUGUGAACG